CCCAGAGCCUCCAGAAGACUGGAGUUUUCUCAGAACUCCUCAGGACACGAGGACCCUCGAAAAUGCUGAGACCUGCCGGAGGGGGCCAAAUUUCUCCUUUCAGCUUGGGUCAAAAAAUAAACUCUCUCCUGCCCAUUUCGUGACUUUUUGUACAACAGUCUCUCCUAAGGAAGAGAUCCCUUCUUUCUCUGGGUGGUUUUCUGAUUCUACCUUAUUCUGUUGUUCCUAUAGCCCAGGUCAGCUCCGCAAGAUCAGCCCAGGAAGCCAGCGGACUGACAGAGGCUCUCCCUCAACCCAUGCUUCCAUGAACGCCACCAUGCUAGGAAGGAAAUUUGGCAUCUGACAGGUAGUCCAUGAGUGAGUGGGACAGCCGGC